AACGAACGCUGGCGGCAGGCUUAACACAUGCAAGUCGAGCGCCCCGAAGGGGAGCGGCAGACGGGUGAGUAACGCGUGGGAACGUACCUUUUGGUUCGGAACAACUCCGGGAAACUGGAGCUAAUACCGGAUAAGCCCUAACGGGGAAAGAUUUAUCGCCGAAAGAUCGGCCCGCGUCUGAUUAGCUAGUUGGUGAGGUAACGGCUCACCAAGGCGACGAUCAGUAGCUGGUCUGAGAGGAUGAUCAGCCACACUGAGACUGAGACGCGGCCCAGACUCCUACGGGAGGCAGCAGUGGGGAAUAUUGGACAAUGGGCGCAAGCCUGAUCCAGCCAUGCCGCGUGAGUGAUGAAGGCCUUAGGGUUGUAAAGCUCUUUUGUCCGGGAAGAUAAUGACUGUACCGGAAGAAUAAGCCCCGGCUAACUUCGUG
rnacentral:rRNA from 1 species